rnacentral:rRNA from 1 species
UGAAUAUAUUAAGGGCUUACGAUGAAUACCUAGGCAUUUAAAAUCGAUGAAGGGCGUAGAAAUCAACGAAAAGUUUUGGGGAACUGAAAACAAGUUUUGAUCCAAAAAUUCCCGAAUGAGGCAACUCUAUAAUACGAAAGAGAUUACCUAGCGAACUGAACCAUCUUAGUAGCUAGAGGAAAUGAAAGCAAACGCGAUUCCCUUAGUAGUGGUGAGCGAAACGGGAGCAGUCUAAACAGCUAAUAAUUUUAGCUGGGUUGUGGGACAAUUAAAAAUUUUUUAAUUAUAAAAAAAAUGAAACAAUUGAAUGUUGUACCAAAGAUGGUGAAAGUCCAGUAAUUAUAAUUAGUAAUUAAAAUUAAAUUGUAUCCCAAGUAGUACGGGACACGUGAAAUCCCGUAUGAAUCCACGAGGACCACCUUGUAAGACUAAAUAUUUUUAAAUGACCGAUAGUGAACUAGUACCGUGAGGGAAAGGUGAAAAGAAUCCCGGGAGGGAAGUGAAAUAGAACAUGAAAUCGUAAGCUUACAAGCAGUAGGAGAUCAAAUGAUUGACUGCGUACCUGUUGAAGAAUGUGCCGGCGACUUAUAUAAAAUGGCUUGGGUAAGAAAAUACUGAAUCCAAAGCGAAAGCGAGUUUUAAAAAGCAUUUGUCAUUUUUUAUAGACCCGAACCCGAGUGAUCUAACCAUGACCAGGAUGAAGCUUAGGUAAAGCUAAGUGGAGGUCCGAACCGACUGAUGUUGAAAAAUCACCGGAUGAGUUGUGGUUAGAGGUGAAAUGCUAAUCGAACUCGGAGCUAGCUGGAUCUCCCCGAAAUGCGUUUAGGCGCAGCGGUUAAUUAUGAAGUCUGGAGGGGUAAAGCACUGUUUCAAUGCGGGCUACGAAAGUAGUACUAAAUCGAGGCAAACUCUGAAUACUUUAUAGAUCUACAAUUAACUAGUGAGACAGUGGGGGAUAAGCUUCAUUGUCGAAAGGGAAACAGCCCAGAUCAUCAGCUAAGGCCCCAAAAUAUUUACUAAGUGAUAAAGGAGGUAAAAGUACAUAGACAUCCAGAAGGUUUGAUUAGAAGCAGCAAUCCUUUAAAGAGUGCGUAAUAGCUCACUGGUUAAGUGCUUUUGCGCCAAAAAUGAAUGGGACUAAGUAAAUUGCCGAAGCUAUGAGUUAUAUAAAUUUAUAUAGCGGUAGGGGAGCGUUCUGUUGUAGUGUGAAGUAAAUAUGAAAGUAUUUAUGGACGAAGCAGAAGUGAGAAUGUCGGCUUAAGUAACGAAAACAUUGGUGAGAAUCCAAUGCUCCGAAAUCCUAAGGGUUCCUUCGGAAGGUUCGUCCACGAAGGGUGAGUCAGGACCUAAGGUAAGGCUGAAAAGCGUAGCUAAUGGAUAACAGGUUAAAAUUCCUGUACUUUUUUUUAUUUGUAGCAAGGGACGAAAUCAGCUAAACUCGCCACUUAAUGGAUUUUGGUUUAAAUGUUCAAGGUUAAGAGAAAUGGUGAAAACAUUUUGAGCUAAGACAUGAUGACGCAAGGAGUGUAUGUUAUAUUUCCAAGAAAAGCUUGUACUACGUUAAAUAAAAAAACCUGUACCCUAAACCGACACAGGUAGGAAAGUAGAGUAUACUAAGGAGCGCGAGAUAACUCUCUCUAAGGAACUCGGCAAAUUAACCCCGUAACUUCGGGAGAAGGGGUACCUUUUUAGGUCACAGUGACCAGGCCCAAGCGACUGUUUACCAAAAACACAGGUCUCCGCAAAGUUGUAAAACACUGUAUGGGGGCUGACGCCUGCCCAGUGCCGGAAGGUUAAAUGAGUGGAUUAAAUGUUCGCAACUGAAGCCCCGGUGAACGGCGGCCGUAACUAUGACGGUCCUAAGGUAGCGAAAUUCCUUGUCGGGUAAGUUCCGACCCGCACGAAAGGCGUAACGAUUUGGGCGCUGUCUCGGAGAGAGACUCGGUGAAAUAGAAUUGUCUGUGAAGAUGCGGACUACCUGCACCUGGACAGAAAGACCCUAUGAAGCUUUACUGUAACUUGAAAUUGAUUUUGGAUUUUUCUUGCGCAGUCUAGAUGGGAGACUUAGAUAUUUAUUUUGCGGAAUAAAUGGAGUCAUUCAUGAGAAACCAUUCUUGAAGGAUUAAAAAUCUAAUUUUGCAUUCUUAUCGAAUCAAAAAACAGUUUCAGGUGGGCAGUUUGACUGGGGCGGUCGCCUCCUAAAAGGUAACGGAGGCGCGCAAAGGUUUUCUCAAACUGUAUGGAAAUCAGUUGAAGAGUGUAAAGGUAUAAGAAAGCUUGACUGUAAGACUUACAAGUCGAACAGGGACGAAAGUCGGCCUUAAUGAUCCGACAAUACUGCGUGGAAAGGUUGUCGCUCAACGGAUAAAAGUUACUCUAGGGAUAACAGGCUGAUCUCCCCCAAGAGUCCACAUCGACGGGGAGGUUUGGCACCUCGAUGUCGGCUCAUCGCAACCUGGGGCGGUAGUACGUCCCAAGGGUUGGGCUGUUCGCCCAUUAAAGCGGUACGUGAGCUGGGUUCAGAACGUCGUGAGACAGUUCGGUCCAUAUCCGGUGUAGGCGUUAAAGUAUUGAAAGGAGUCUUUCCUAGUACGAGAGGAUUGGAAAGAGCAGACCGAUGGUGUACCAGUUAUCAUUCCAAUGGUAAAUGCUGGGUAGCUAUGUCUGAAGUGGAUAACUGCUGAAAGCAUCUAAGUAGGAAGCCCACCUUAAGAUGAGUACUUUUAAAUCACGGUAAGAUUAACCGUUUUAUAGGCAACAAGUAUAAGUUUGGUAACAGAUUGAGCUAAGUUGUACUAAUAGAUUUUUUUUAUUCAAUAU